ACAGAGAGUCGUCGGCCGGGGGCUGUACUUCGUGGACGCGCUGCCACCACGGGGAUGGGGAGGAUCGAUUCGAGGCCUGCGCUUUAGCGCAAGUUAAAGGCACAGUUCGAAGGGCACAUACGCGCCAAAUGCAGCCUUGCCCUGUACGUGUGUUGGAGCACGCACGUAACGCAUGUGGAGAUGCGUGAAACUGUGUGCACGUGUACGUGUGUGUCAGGGCAGACGCGAAAUGCUCGUACCGAAAAGGAGACGAAGUCGAAGAUCGACGAAGACGCCGAGACGGUGUCUACCGGGAGCAAUAUUCUAUAGCCAUAUAUGUAUAUGCAACAUAUAGGAGAACACGGGGAGACUUUCUCUUUACAUUACUCUUGGAUAUCUCUUGGAGAGUCCGAGUCUUUCUCGUGUAUAAUAAAACUUCGUACAUGUCGGAAUAAGUCGACAUGUACAUCUGGCAUUGGAAGAACACGAGUACGGGAAUUGAAAGAUCCGUAAGAAGAAUAUGCGUACGCGAUGUAGAACAAGAGAAAAUGUUGGAAAAAAACUAGACAGUUGUUGGAAAUUAGGCCGCUUUAUUGUAUCUUGAAUCAAACUGAUUUCUUUUCCGGAUGAUUUCUUUUGUGGAGUAUAUUUACAUAAAUAAUGGUAUUUAUUUUCUUUAAUAACAAAAUAUUAUCGGAAUUUGACAUUUGCAAAUUUACACAAUUGUUAGACCAUUCAACGCAAUUGUGUUUACUCUACGUACGGUAACAAUAAUUUGCUUCUUAAACAGAGAUUCACAUCUCCAUUGUUUCAUACUUGCACAUAUAUAUACUACAACUAUAUAUAUUUUUAGAAUUAGAGAUAUGAAGUGACAUAAUUCUACUCAAGUACUUUUCUUCGGAGAUGGCUUUUACACUCUACGCUAAAUACAUGUAGGUAUAUAUAACAAUAAUAAAAUUAAUUUUGAUAUUUUGAUAGGCAUAAUUUGCUACUGUUUAUAUAUUAUCUAUUUCUGAUUACGUUUUUCUGUCUAUGUAAAUAUGGUAUGUGAACUGUUAAAAAAAGGCUAUCUCACAAUCGAAGAAAACGAGUUUCUAAUUAUCAGGCUCUAGAAUGAUAUGUAAUUAGAUGGAUCAACGCGUUAGCAAUAACUCUAAGAAUAUUAUAAGACAAGUUCAUGUUAAACAACUGAAAGUCGAAAAUUAAUGUUGUUAUUACAUAUUGUUAAUGCAAAUUUUAGUGUUUUAAUAAAUUAAUAUUUUGGAAG